CGCACGGUGGAUGCCUUGGCACUAGGAGCCGAUGAAGGACGGGACUAACACCGAUAUGCUUUGGGGAGCUGUACGUAAGCUAUGAUCCAGAGAUUUCCGAAUGGGGGAACCCAACAUCUUUAAUAGGAUGUUACGAUUGUGUGAAUACAUAGCACAUUCGAGGUAGACGCAGAGAACUGAAACAUCUAAGUACCUGCAGGAAGAGAAAGAAAAUUCGAUUCCCUGAGUAGCGGCGAGCGAAACGGGAAAAGCCCAAACCAGCAAGCUUGCUUGUUGGGGUUGUAGGACUCCAAUAUGGUAGUUCUUUCAGAUAGUCGAAUGACUUGGAAAAGUCAGUCAAAGAGGGUAAAAACCCCGUAGACGAAAUGUGGAAGACACCUAGGAGGAUCCUGAGUACGGCGGAACACGAGAAAUUCCGUCGGAAUCCGGGAGGACCAUCUCCCAAGGCUAAAUACUCCCUAGUGACCGAUAGUGAACCAGUACCGUGAGGGAAAGGUGAAAAGCACCCCGGAAGGGGAGUGAAAUAGAACCUGAAACCGUGUGCCUACAACAAGUCAAAGCCCGUUAAUGGGUGAUGGCGUGCCUUUUGUAGAAUGAACCGGCGAGUUACGAUUGCAUGCGAGGUUAAGUUGAAGAGACGGAGCCGCAGCGAAAGCGAGUCUGAAUAGGGCGUUUGAGUAUGUAGUCGUAGACCCGAAACCAUGUGAUCUA
rnacentral:rRNA from 1 species